ACCGAAAGACGAUUAAUUUCGUUUUUUAGUCAUAAAAAAACCUGCCAGCGAUGGCAGGUUUUUUUUUGCC
rnacentral:sRNA from 1 species